AGUCGAGCGGUAACAGGUGUAGCAAUACAUGCUGACGAGCGGCGAACGGGUGAGUAAUGCUUUGGAAUCUUCCCAGUAGUGGGGAACAACCAGUCGAAAGAUUGGCUAAUACCGCAUACGUCUGUGAAGAGAAAGCGGGGGAUCGUAAGACCUCGCGCUAUUGGAUGAGCCAAAGUCGGAUUAGCUAGUUGGUGAGGUAAUGGCUCACCAAGGCGACAAUCCGUAGCUGGUCUGAGAGGACGACCAGCCACACCGGAACUGAGACACGGUCCGGACUCCUACGGGAGGCAGCAGUGGGGAAUAUUGGACAAUGGGGGAAACCCUGAUCCAGCGACGCCGCGUGUGUGAAGAAGGCCUGCGGGUUGUAAAGCACUUUUAGUGGGGACAAAAAGUCACGGGCUAAUAACUUGUGAUCUUGAUUUAACUCACAGAAAAAGCACCGGCUAACUCUGUGCCAGCAGCCGCGGUAAUACAGAGGGUGCGAGCGUUAAUCGGAAUUACUGGGCGUAAAGCGCACGUAGACGGUUUGGUAAGUCAGAUGUGAAAUCCCCGGGCUCAACCUGGGAACUGCAUUUGAUACUGCCUGGCUAGAGUAUCGAAGAGGGAAGUGGAAUUUCCGGUGUAGCGGUGAAAUGCGUAGAUAUCGGAAGGAACACCAGUGGCGAAAGCGACUUCCUGGUCGA
rnacentral:rRNA from 1 species